AUUUAUAUAGUUUAUGAAAAACAUUACACUUUCACUGUAAAGACAAAGAAACCUUUUAUAAAUA
rnacentral:tRNA from 1 species